rnacentral:rRNA from 1 species
UUCCCCUAGUAACGGCGAGUGAAGCGGGAUGAGCUCAAAUUUGUAAUCUGGCAGUUUCACUGUCCGAGUUGUAAUCUAUAGAAGUGUUUUCCGUGCUGGCUCAUGUACAAGUCCCUUGGAAUAGGGCAUCAUAGAGGGUGACAAUCCCGUACUUGACAUGAACUCCCAGUGCUCUGUGAUACACUUUCAAAGAGUCGAGUUGUUUGGGAAUGCAGCUCAAAAUGGGUGGUAAAUUCCAUCUAAAGCUAAAUAUUGGUGGGAGACCGAUAGCGAACAAGUACCGUGAGGGAAAGAUGAAAAGCACUUUGGAAAGAGAGUUAAACAGUAUGUGAAAUUGUUAAAAGGGAAACGCUUGAAGUCAGUCAUGCUUUUGAGAACUUGUUCUCUUUAGUGGGGUCAACAUCAGUUUUGAUCGCUGGAAAAGGGCUGGAGGAAUGUAGUACCCUCGGGUAAACUUAUAGCCUCCUGUCGCAUACAGUGGUUGGGACUGAGGACUGCGGCUUUGCCUAGGAUGUUGACAUAAUGGCUUUAAACGACCCGUCUUGAAACACGGACCA